GGCGAACGCUGGCGGCGUGCUUAACACAUGCAAGUCGAACGGAAAGGCCCUGCUUGCAGGGUACUCGAGUGGCGAACGGGUGAGUAACACGUGGGUGAUCUGCCCUGCACUUCGGGAUAAGCUUGGGAAACUGGGUCUAAUACCGGAUAGGACCGCACUUUAGUGUGUGUGGUGGAAAGUUUUUUCGGUGUAGGAUGAGCUCGCGGCCUAUCAGCUUGUUGGUGGGGUAAUGGCCUACCAAGGCGGCGACGGGUAGCCGGCCUGAGAGGGUGUACGGCCACAUUGGGACUGAGAUACGGCCCAGACUCCUACGGGAGGCAGCAGUGGGGAAUAUUGCACAAUGGGCGCAAGCCUGAUGCAGCGACGCCGCGUGGGGGAUGAAGGCCUUCGGGUUGUAAACUCCUUUCGCUAGGGACGAAGCUUUGUUGUGACGGUACCUAGAUAAGAAGCACCGGCUAACUACGUG
rnacentral:rRNA from 1 species